UCAAUGGAUCAAUCAGUUUAUCAGAGUAAUCCAGGUCCCUAUUGGAGUCAGUCAGAGCAUUUCCAUAGAGAGCCACUUUGCAUCAGCAGCACCAUGCUCCAGUGCUCUGGGAGAGUUUAUAGUCCUGAGAGUUGAACACUGGAUGACUGACAGCUGUCCUUCAUGACAACAGAAGCCACAGAAAUCCUCCUCAUCAGAAACAUGACUUUGAUCUGCGUCCUCAUCUGGACUCUCCUCUGCUGCUGCUUCACAGAGUCCAGAGGACAGGUCACAGUGACUCAGCCUGGAGCAGUGAGCUCUGCUCCGGGAGGCUCCGUCUCCAUCAGCUGUAGGAUCAGUCAGAAGGUUCAUGUUUAUAGCAAUAACCACUGUUUAGCCUGGUACCAACAGAGAGAUGGAGAAACUCCUAAACUGCUUAUUUACUAUGCUAGCUCUCGUCAGUCAGGGACUCCAGAUCGUUUUACAGGCAGUGGAUCAAACUCCGACUUCACUCUGACCAUCAGUGGAGUUCAGACUGAAGAUGCAGCAGUUUACUACUGUCAGAGUUUUCACUAUCCCAACAGUCAGUAUGUGUUCACACAGUGA